rnacentral:rRNA from 1 species
CCGGCACGGGUGAGUAACACGUAUCCAACCUGCCGUCUACUCUUGGACAGCCUUCUGAAAGGAAGAUUAAUACAAGAUGGCAUCAUGAGUCCGCAUGUUCACAUGAUUAAAGGCGUUCCGGUAGACGAUGGGGAUGCGUUCCAUUAGAUAGUAGGCGGGGUAACGGCCCACCUAGUCUUCGAUGGAUAGGGGUUCUGAGAGGAAGGUCCCCCACAUUGGAACUGAGACACGGUCCAA